rnacentral:rRNA from 1 species
AGCAGCCGCGGUAAUUCCAGCUCCAAUAGCGUAUAUUAAAGUUGUUGCAGUUAAAAAGCUCGUAGUUGAAUUUCGGGGUUAGUAGGUUGGUCGUGCCAUCGGUAUGUACUGAUCUCACUGAUUCCUCCUUCCUGAUGAACCGUAAUGCCAUUAAUUUGGUGUUGCGGGGAAACUGGACUGUUACUUUGAAAAAAUUAGAGUGUUUAAAGCAGGCUAACGCUUGAAUACAUUAGCAUGGAAUAAUGAAAUAGGACGUUCGAUCCUAUUUUGUUGGUUUCUAGGAUUGACGUAAUGAUUAAUAGGGAUAGUUGGGGGCAUUAGUAUUCAAUUGUCAGAGGUGAAAUUCUUGGAUUUAUUGAAGACUAACUACUGCGAAAGCAUUUGCCAAGGAUGUUUUCAUUAAUCAAGAACGAAAGUUAGGGAUCGAAGACGAUCAGAUACCGUCGUAGUCUUAACCAUAAACUAUGCCGACUAGGGAUCGGAUGAUGUUAUUUUUAAUGUACUCAUUCGGCGCCUUACG